rnacentral:lncRNA from 1 species
CCAUAAAAAGAAUAAAAAGGUCAAUGCAUUGUGUUUCAUGUUUGUAUUAAUAGAUCUCUCCAUUAAAACAGAAUGAAAUAAAAAUAAUAAAAAAUGUCAACAAUUAGCUAUUUCAAAACAUAAAAAUAACGAUGAAAUUGGAAAUAACAAUGUGCAUUCAAGUCAUGCAAGACUUUUUAAGGUUCUAAAGAAGAUCAAUC